rnacentral:rRNA from 1 species
CCUACGGGAGGCAGCAGUGAGGAAUAUUGGUCAAUGGCCGGAAGGCUGAACCAGCCAUGCCGCGUGAAGGUCAGUGCCCUAUGGGCGUUAAACUUCUUUUGUGCGGGAGCAAUAAUGGUCACGUGUGGCCAGACGAGAGUACCGUACGAAUAAGCAUCAGCUAACUCCGUGCCAGCAGCCGCGGUAAUACGGGGGAUGCAAGCGUUAUCCGGAUUUAUUGGGUUUAAAGGGUGCGUAGGCUGUGAGGUAAGUCAGCGGUGAAAUGCCCCCGCUCAACGGGGUGAAGUGCCAUUGAUACUGUCUUGCUGGAAUGCGGAUGGGGUGGGAGGAAUGUGGGGUGUAGCGGUGAAAUGCAUAGAAAUCACAGAGAAACCCGAGUGCGAAGGCAUCUCACGAAUCCGCGAUUGAGGCUGAUGCACGAAAGCGUGGGUAUCAAACAGGAUUAGAUCCCCGGGUAGU